ensembl:lncRNA
GGCGAGUCAGGUCCCCGUUGACUUUCCAGAGGCGAGUCAGGUCCCCGUUGACUUUCCAGAGGACCCUCCAGAGUCAGGUCAAGUCACUGCUGAUCCUCCAGAGUCAGGUCAAGUCACUGCUGAUCCUCCAGAGUCAGGUCAAGUCACUGCUAACACCCAAAAGUCAAGUAAAACAACAGAAUUUAGUCAGUUCACCGUUGACCGUCCAGAUUCAGGUCAAGUCACCAUUAACCUCCCAGAGUUUAUUCAAGUCACCAUUGAUCUUCAUGUGCAAAGGCAAGUCACCAGUGUUCUUUAUGGGCAAAGUCAAGUCACCAGUGUUCUUCAUGGGCAAGGUCAAGUCACCGACUAUCUUCAUGGGCAAAGGCAAAUCACCAUUGAUCUUCAUGAGCAAAUGCAAGUCAUCAUUGAUCCUCAUGAGCAGAGUCAGGUCACCAAUGAUCCUCAUGAGCAGAGUCGAGUCACCAAUGAUCCUCAUGAGCAGAGUCGAGUCACCAAUGAUCUUCCUGAAUCUAGUCUAAACUCUGCGAAACUACCGGAGCCUCUCCACGUCUCAGCCGAACUCUCUGAGCGCUCGACUGAUCCUGUCGUGGCCAUGGAGGCCACCCUUAACUUGUUCAUGUUCUCUGGUUCAGACUUGCCUAUCCAGACUUGCUCGGAUGUGGUGGUCUUCUGCGCCGAUGUGGUGGGCUCCUGUUCCGCCUGCGCCGUCCUGGUGGGCCCCAGUUCCACUUGCUCCACCCUGGAAUCCUGCCCGGUCGGCACUGUCCUGGGCCCCUGAACGCUCUGACCUACCCUGGUCCCCUUGUGGUGUUUUUUUUUUUUUUUCUCACUUCCUGUUUUUGUUCCCCUUUAUGGAGCUGACCCAAACAAACAAUUUAUUUAUUUAUUUUUUUUCAUUUCCUGUCCCUGACGUCUUGGAGCGUCUGGUAGCCGCUCUGUAGAGGAGGGGUUUUGUUACAGUGUCUGGUUUGUGUUUCCUGGGUAACCACUAGAUGAACUACAUUCCCCACGAUCCCUGUCUCCUCAUUGCACUCAGCUGUCCCUGGUCAUUAAUCAUUGCACUCAGCCAAUUCCCCAUUAGUAUUGUCAUUUCCCUGUGUAUUUAUAUCUUGUCUGUUUUAGUAUGUGUUACUGAGUCCUUGUAUUUAUCACACCACUUCGGAGUUCUGUUCUUGCCGUUUGUUUUGUGCCUGUUGAUUCUUGAUUGUCACUUUGGUUUUGACCCCUGCCUGG